UAAAUUAAAUUUCAUAGAUAAAUUAACACGAAGUUGAAGGAGCUAGUUAUUAUAUAUUUAUAGAUAUGACGAUGUUGCAAAAUUUAGAAAAUAAUAACUAGGGGUGAUAGGCUUUUCACAUUCAACGAUAACUUGAUGGUUGAGAAAUGUAUUAGUACGAAGAUACUCUUGAAGUGAUAAGGUUUUAAGAGAGAAACAAAAGGGGGUUAAUAUUUUGUAUCUUAUUUAACCAUAAAUAUAUUUAAUAAUUAAUAUCCAUUUACUAAAUUUGUUUAAAUUACUAACCACUUGUUAAAUUGUCACACAUAUAUAUAAUGUUUAAAUAAGUAACAAGGAGUUAUAAUUAAUGAACUCGGCAAGAAACCUUUCAACUGUUUAUCAAAAACAUAGCUAUAUGAUUAAAUAUAUAGUGCUUUCUGCUCAAUGAAAAUUAAAUAGCCGCAGUACCCUGACUGUGCUAAGGUAGCGCAAUCAAUUGACUUUUGAAUGAAGUCCUGUAUGAAAGAAACUAUGGAGGGUUACUCUCUCAUUUAUAAUAAAUGAAUUUACUUAGGAAGUGCAAAUUCUUCUUUUAAAAUAAAAGACGAGAAGACCCUAGAAAUUUUAGAGAAAAUAUCUUUUUGUUGGGGCAACAGAGUAGUAAUUAAUCUACUACAAAGACACGGAACUAUUAUUUGGCAAGAUAAAAUUACUCUAGGGAUAACAGCAUAAUUUUGAAAAGUUUGUGACCUCGAUGUUGGAUUAGGGAAUUAACAUCUAGAAG
rnacentral:rRNA from 1 species